UUUAUAAGUUGCUAGCUAUCCCAUAAAGCCACCACCGAAAACCACAUAUUUUCAUCUUCCUCUGAAGACGAUGCAAAGUUUAAAACAAUUCUAAGUAUGCUGCGUCCAUCUAACAACGGAGCCUUCAACAGCAAGGGGGCGUUGUGUUUCCAAUCUGUUGUGGACAUCCCCAUUGAAAUGUAGUACAUCUGGCGCAAUGUAACAGAGUGCUUAUGGGUAAUGCAAACUUUAGAGGCUUUAGGGUUGUCAGACAAUUUUUGGGCCAAACUUAGCUCAAAUUCUACACGUCGGAAUAAAACGAGGCUACAGCGUCCAUAAGGUAACCAUUAAGCCUCGUUCACAUUACCCAUAAGCACUCCAUACAUUGUGCUGGAUGUCAUGCAUUUCAAUGGGGACGUCCACAAUGGAGUGGAAUUACAUCGCCCCCUUGGGGUUGAAGGCGCCGAUGCAAGAAGGACACUACGUAAUUUGACAUUUUCCAAACUUUGUUUUGUCUUCAGUCCAGCCAGAGUCCGAAUGUUACCAAACCACAGAAGAAGAUGAAAAUAUGUGGUUUUCGUUGAUGGAUGAUGGCUGCAAUCCACUCCCAGUUAAGCGGGGUCCGUUCAGGCCUCCGUCAGCUCCACAAUGCCUUGGGGGAUGUGAUGGACAUCCAGAACUCCCUGCCCGGUAGAAGUCAGCAAUGACUGGAGGCAAAACAUUAACACCAUUGAGAACCUGAAGUACGUAAAAUAUGCUGGGACGCAACAUCAGCGGAGGCUCCUCAGAAGAGGAAGGGACAUAAUGCCCUAUUAAUUUGAGCCGGAAUACAGUGAAGAGGAGUUGAGACAGCGAGAACAACAAUUGCGAGACCAGCAAGCAGCGAUGGGGAGCCACGGGCAGACUUUGACUAGUGGUACCUAUGUGGGUGUUGUCCAGCCACGCCGACAGAAGAGAAAUGUCUGUGCUGCAACUAAUUAGAUCGUGGACGGUUCAUACUGGAGAUGGUCACUGCAGACCCCAUGGAUUGUGUGUCUGAUACAGACCAUCAAAGUUUUAAUGCACAUAUGGAUAGAAGUGUGCUGGAGACAUUUUUCAGAACCUCCAAGAUCAAAUGGCGGCGGCAGACUAGACCAGCGGGGUAACAAUACUGCUUGGUGACCUACAGAUUAUUUUUGGAGAUGGUUAUCGGUGCGGAGAAGCUAGGCACAAGACACUGAAUUCCCUGAAAACAUUUCCAGCGCCUACUUCAGUCCAAGUCAAGCACUGGUCUAACUGAAUGUGGAUGUUGUGUUGGCUGAAUGUUCCAGGCACGCUCCAGAAUGUUCUUCUGCUGGUGAACCUUGUCUUGUGUUGGGCAAUGGCAGCUGGUCUGGCAGAAGUUCAUGAGCUCCAUGACCUUGGACUCAUAGACUUUGGCUCUUGCCAGCCCCAUGCAGUCAACCCCAUGCAGUCUUUUCCUCUUCCGAGUCAGAUGAUGUUGAGCUUGAGUUUUUUCCCGGAUGAAAGAUUUCAUCCAAUGGGUCUACAGAAUCUGUACUUCUAAAGCAGAAGCACCAGGAUUAGUCUGUAGGACAUACACUAGUCAGUGAUUAGGCAAUAUUUUACUACUUUGUCCCCAUGAAUACACACUCCGACAAGCUACUAUCUCCACCCUUCACCCUUGUGUCAAUAGAUCAUGCAUACUAACCUUCACACACAGUACCCACUUCCAACAGACACCAGUCACCCACACCAUCCCCUCUUCACGAAGAACUAUGCUUUUCUCCGAUUUACACUUCAAGCUUUGCAUAAACAAUCAAUUAAUGCUGCAAUAUGUAACUUUUUGGGUGACUCACCAAAUUCACAUAAUUUGUUUUAACUAGGCAAGUCAGUUAAGAACAAAAUCAAAUUUGUAAUGAUGGCCAACAGUGGGUUAACUGCCUUGUUCAGGGGCAGAACGACAGAUUUCUAUCUUGUCAGCUUGGGGAUUCGAUCCAGCAACCUAUCAAUUACUGGCCCAAUUCUCUAACCACUAGGCUACCUGCCACCCCGAAAAUGUGAGUUAUAGAUCUGUCAUUCUCAUUGAAAGCAAGUCUAACAAGCGGUAGAUAAACUCUGCAGAAAAAGAAACGUCCUCUCACUGUCAACUGCGUUUAUUUUCAGCAAACUUAACAUGUGUAAAUAUUUGUAAGGACAUAACAAGAUUCAACAACUGAGACGUAAACUGAACAAGUUCCACAGACAUGUGACUAACAGAAAUUGAAUAAUGCAUUUCCACCAGAGCUGUUGCCAGAGAAUUUAAUGUUCAUUUCUCUACCAUAAGUCACCUCCAACGUCGUUUUAGACAAUUUGUCAGUAUGUCCAACUGGCCUCACAACCGCAGACCACGUAUAACCAAGGCAGCCCAGGACUUCCACAUCCGGCUUCUUCACCUGUGGGAUCAUCUGACCAGCCACCCAGACAGCUGAUGAGUCUGAAGAGUAUUUCUGUCUGUAAUAAAGCGCAUUUGUGGGGAAAAAUGUAUUCUGUUUGCCUGGGCAAUGUCCCCCUUUGAAAUCUCAAGAUUAUGGCUUAAUGAAUUUAUUUCAAUUGACUGAUUUCGUUAUAUAAACUGUAACUCGUUGAAAUUGUUGCGUUAGCUUGCAUUAGCUUGCAUUAGCUUGCAAAGGUACAAAUCACAUCGCCAGAUAGCAGCUGGCUAAUUACAUUGAUUUGCUUUGGAAUGUCUAGCCAGUGUAUCAUGAAAUAUAGCUAGAUUUUUGUUUAGAUAAACAAAUGUAGUUCGUUAGGUAGCUAGGUUAGCUAUGUUCCUUCUCCUUGACACAUUAGUAAGGUAACAGAUGAAAUGAUACCCCAACAGGCUGUGCUUGCUUCUAGUUUGCACAUCAAGGUACUGAGCACCCACCAUGACUAAACUUUACAGUUGUUAUCGACAUACAAAGAAAAAGAAAAAGUUAUAUUAUAUGAAUGAGUGGCUGUCCUGUAAGUAACAUUAGCCACCUCAACAGGGGAGGUACUUCGUCCUUAAAUUGCUAUGAAUUCUGGAUAUUGUUGUUUGGUUACAACCAGGAAACACUUUUAUGGUUACUACAUGAUUCCAUACAGUAUGUGUUAUUUCAUAGUUCUGAUGCCGUCACUAUUAUUCUACAGUGUAGAAAAUGGUAAAAAUAAAGAAAAACCCUU
rnacentral:lncRNA from 1 species